rnacentral:ncRNA from 2 species
AUUUUAUUGGGGAAUGAAUGUCUCCCUAAGUAUUAAUACUUAAACCGCUUAGAAAAGCUGAUGACUUCUGCAAUCAA